rnacentral:lncRNA from 1 species
CUCCGUUGUGAUGUCAUCAAAAAGUUGUCUGCUAACGUAAACCAGACUGGGUUGCAAGUUUCUAAUCGACACACCUAAUAGUAAUAUUAGUUAGUAAGGUCUACUAGUAGUCCUUGUAUAUAGUCACCCUAGAUAUUAAGAUGUUUAAUGUAGCUGUUGUGUUUGGUGUACUAGUUCAUAAUUUAAUUAUUAUGAUAAAAUCCGUAGAAAUAAAAAUUAUAAAUAUUCGCCGACGACUGAUGUAAAUACUUUAUACCAAGAUUAAUGUAUUUAUAUUAACCUUGCUUUAUACCUAUAUUCAUAAUAUGUAUGUCAUAUGUCCCUUCUGAAGCUAAAUAUGCUUCUACAAUACGUAAUUUAAUAUGUAUACCUAGUUGCUUCAUCCACAAAUGUCCGAUAUAAUCGGAUUACGAAUAGUUUAAAAAACUGAAACUGUCUGUAAAUGACAAGUGUAUCUUAAUAUCUGAUAAAAAUUAGUUUCACAAAGAGAAGAGACUGCAAAGGGAGUAAAAAUUGAAUUUAUCAUAAUUUUGCAUUUCAUUUUAACAUAAUGGUGAAAAUGAGAUGAAAAUAGACAAACUUAUGGACGCCUACAACGACUAUUCCAAUGCAUUGAAAAAAAUAAUUGAAAAGUUAACAUCUAAUCCCGAAUUUCUUGGAAGAAUCGAGCUCGAAAAAAUAGCUACAGUAUGUUUAAAUCGAAUCAACGAAAUCAAAUCUAGAAUUCCGAUUGUACAUGUUAGCCUUAUAAAUUCAAAAGAUAUAAUAAAAAUAGCACUGGAAUAUCCACUUAAAUCAGCAGCCUUACCCGGAUUUAAUUCCACCAAAGAAAAACUUUGGAACUUUGCUAAACAAAGAUCCACUAGAACCGUUUUACUCUAUGGGGUGAAGGAAAAUGGUUUACAUUUCUUGGCCAGAGCCAAAUUAACGGAAAUCUUUGGCAAUUUUUACUCACUUUCCUACUUAAAUCCAAAUAGUAUUGAAACUUUCAUAAAAUUGUUCCAUAAAAAAAAAUCAAUAUUUUGGAGUAUAUAUUGACUCCAUUGAGUCGUUUAAUAUGGAAGAAGAUGCUCUAUUAACUCUUUUACAAAUGCAUCAUGUAUAUGUGAUUGCAACUUGUUAUAAUUCAAAAAAUUUGAGUGGAGUUAUCAUGAAGACAUUUGAUUUACGUACUACAGUUCAAGAUCCUAGCUAUAGAGAUAGAAAAGAUAUAAUCACACGUAUUCUAUUUCCACAUGAUAAUUUAGUGACCAAAAAGGAAAUUAAUAAACUCACACACAUUACAAAAGAUUUUAAAUAUAAUCAUUUCUUUGUAAAAGAAUUGUCUUUUUCCACGAUAUCAAGCAUGUCGUCUAAAUAUAACAAUCGGUAUUUUUUGAGU